CUGUGAUGUGUUGACCUUCGGAAUUCAAUCAUUCUUCCCUUGAACCACACUACCGCUUUGAUGCCUAGACUCCGAAACAGAAGAAGAAAUGGCAAACUUUACUUUCCUAUUCAGCUUCUGUUCUCGACUAAUGGCUGCAAUCUUUGCUUACUCAGCUUGUGUCCAGUUAAAUGACCCAGAUUGGUACUUUUGGUUCCCUCUCUAUGCUUGCGCUUGUGUUGUUAAUAUGCUGAACUGGGCAAUCUCCUCAAAAACAUUUAUCAGGAAAAUUGCAGAGGUGACAGUAUGGCUGGGUAUAUUCCUAUUUUUGAAAGUUGUAGUAGAAGAUUUUGUAAGUGAAACUGCUGGCUUCUGGUCAUUGGAUUUGAGUGAGAGAGUUGUUAGAGAGAAAACUGGAAGUGGGUUGGUCAUCAUUUCCUUUAUUUUGCAGUUGCAAGCAUCAUCCCAUCUAAAGUAUUCCAAGUCAAGAAAUCAAAGAAAGAAAAAGGAAUUUCCAAGAUGUGUUGAAUAUGGAAUGGCAAUCUUGGUGUGCUUCAGCUUUGGACUCCCCUUUGUAUUCUUUGUAGUUAGAAAUGGAGAAAUGAAGUUUGAGUAUAUCAAUGAUGGGCAUUCUUGGAAAAUAAACUAGGUUUAGCAUGCAAAUUUUCAAAUGUGCAAAUCAAUAUCCCACAAAAAAAUUUGUAUUAUCUUCCAUAACCUGCUAGUUUUCACAAG
rnacentral:misc_RNA from 1 species